CCUACGGGGGGCUGCAGUGGGGAAUAUUGGACAAUGGGGGGAACCCUGAUCCAGUCAUGCCGCGUGUGUGAAGAAGGCCCUCGGGUUGUAAAGCACUUUCAGUGAGGAAGAACGCCUGGUGGUUAAUACCCAUCAGGAAAGACAUCACUCACAGAAGAAGCACCGGCUAACUCCGUGCCAGCAGCCGCGGUAAUACGGAGGGUGCGAGCGUUAAUCGGAAUUACUGGGCGUAAAGCGCGCGUAGGUGGCUUGAUAAGCCGGUUGUGAAAGCCCCGGGCUCAACCUGGGAACGGCAUCCGGAACUGUCAAGCUAGAGUGCAGGAGAGGAAGGUAGAAUUCCCGGUGUAGCGGUGAAAUGCAUAGAGAUCGGGAGGAAUACCAGUGGCGAAGGCGGCCUUCUGGACUGACACUGACACUGAGGUGCGAAAGCGUGGGUAGCAAACAGGAUUAGAUACCCUUGUAGUC
rnacentral:rRNA from 1 species